rnacentral:rRNA from 1 species
UACGUAGGUGGCAAGCGUUGUCCGGAUUUACUGGGCGUAAAGAGCGCGCAGGCGGUCAAGUAAGUCGAAUGUGAAAGCCCCCGGCUCAACUGGGGAGGGUCAUUCGAUACUGCUCGACUUGAAGGCAGGAGAGGGCAGCAGAAUUCCCGGUGUAGUGGUGAAAUGCGUAGAUAUCGGGAGGAAUACCAGUGGCGAAGGCGGCUGCCUGGCCUGUUCUUGACGCUGAGGCGCGAAAGCUAGGGGAGCAAACGGG